CCUGUUAGGGCCGUUGUAGUUUCCUUAGAAAGAGAGGUGCUUCUCCUGCAAGCAAAGUUGCCAAGGGCAUUGAAGUUAAACUCUGUUCAACUAGGAGAGUGGAAGGGAGCCCUGCCAGCCCACGGGCCAUCACGAUUCUCAAAGUUGAGGGCUCUUAUCCAUACGGAUAGACGCACGACAGGAAGCAAAAAGAGCCUUAGAGCUGCAACCUGUGAUCCCUUGUUGGGUCUGGGACUGGAAAUAGAAAACCACGCCCUUCUGGAAAUCAAAAGAGCCUCACCGUGAGAAGACCAGCAGGCCGGCAAGAGAGGCUUGCGGGCUGAUCCAAAAGUACAAUCCCUACGUGAACCCCCAGUUCCCACUGCCAAAAAAGACGUCCGAUGAUGUCACCAGGGAAUUCCUCUAGGACUUCAAAGUGCCCUCUCCCUAAGUCUAAAGUUCGGCUUCCGGAUGGACGAAACUGAAAACCUCAGGAUGCGGAAACGUGGAGCUGAGAUCCGCACCACACGGAUGAACCUGGAGGGCGUCCCGCUCAAUGAAACAAGCCAGACAGAGAACGACAAAUACUGCGUGGUCUCACUUUAUAUGUGAAAUCUGAAAACCAAAGAAAGACAUGGACUGCGGUCUCUGGUGUCUGAAAAGCGUUAUCGCUAGCUGGCUGAGCUCCAGUCCCACUUCCUGGGCGAUUGCUCCCAUCCUCGCCACCCUGUGUGGACUGGGGCUCCUCCUGCUGUUCCUUCCCUACCUCCAGAGGAAUCCGUGUUUACGACCACCUUGGAAGAGACGUAGAAACAUCAGGAAGCGUCCAGUGGAGCCGAGGGGGAGGAGCGGCAGGACCAGGAAGAAAAGCGGA